GCUGUUUAAGAUUAGCCAUGCAUGUCUCAGUAUAAGCUUCUAUACGGCGAAACUGCGAAUGGCUCAUUAAAACAGUUAUAGUUUAUUUGGUGGUCAACAAUUACAUGGAUAACCGUGGUAAUUCUAGAGCUAAUACAUGCGCCCAAACCCAACUUUUUGGAAGGGUUGUGUUUAUUAGAUACAGAACCAACCCAGGCUCCGCCUGGCCUUGAGGUGAUUCAUAAUAACCGAACGAAUCGCAUGGCUAUGCCGGCGAUAGACCAUUCAAGUUUCUGACCUAUCAGCUAUCGUCGGUAGGGUAUUGGCCUACCGUGGCAAUGACGGGUAACGGAGAAUUAGGGUUCGAUUCCGGAGAGGGAGCCUGAGAAACGGCUACCACAUCUAAGGAAGGCAGCAGGCGCGCAAAUUACCUAAUCCUGACACAGGGAGGUAGUGACAAGAAAUAACAAUACAGGGCAUACAUGUCUUGUAAUUGGAAUGAGUAAACUUUAAAUCACUUU
rnacentral:rRNA from 1 species